rnacentral:rRNA from 1 species
UACGGAAGGUGCAAGCGUUGUUCGGAUUGACUGGGCGUAAAGGGCGCGUAGGCGGGUUUGUAAGUCGAUUGUGAAAGCCCCAGGCUUAACCUGGGAACUGCAGUCGAGACUACAAGUCUUGAAUGUCUGAGGGGUUAGUGGAAUUCCUGGUGUAGGAGUGAAAUCCGUAGAGAUCAGGAGGAACACCGGCGGCGAAGGCGGCUAGCUGGCAGAACAUUGACGCUGAGGCGCGAAAGUGCGGGGAGCAAACAGG